rnacentral:rRNA from 1 species
GACGAACGCUGGCGGCGUGCUUAACACAUGCAAGUCGAACGAAGUGGCGAACGGGUGAGUAAUACGUGAGUAACCUGCCCUCCUUUUUGGGAUAAGCCUUGGAAACGGGGUCUAAUACCGAAUAAAGGGGGCUGGGCUCGCGGCCUAUCAGCUUGUUGGUGGGGUGAUGGCCUGCCAAGGCGGUGACGGGUAGCCGGCCUGAGAGGGGGACGGGGCACAUUGGGAGUGGAGGAAGGGCCAGGCUCCUACUGGAGGGAGGAGUGGGGGAUUUUGCAACAUGGGCGAAAGCCUGAUGGAGGGAAGGCGGGGUGGGGAUGGAGGCUUUCGGGUUGUAAACCUCGUUUGGCAUCGAACGGGUAGGUGGAGAAGAAGCGCCGGCUAACUACGUGCCAGCAGCCGCGGUAAUUC